UGGAUAGCUCAGUCCCCACUCUCAUGGGCCUUUCUGUACAGCAGUGGCCAAGUCAUUGUUGCCACGGGGCUACAUGGAACAGGAAGAAGACACACUAGGCAUGAAGCCCAGGCCUGGACCUGGACUGUAGGGGGGUGGUGGUGGCCACGCCUACUUCUAGAAAGGAGGUAGGAAGUGAUUAGUUAGGGGAAAGAGGAGGUCUAGCUAGCACUGGCUGUUUUUUCUAGAAGACUAGGAGAACUGAAUGCCUCCAAAUCCACAACCCUGCCUACGUUGUGGAUUAAAGUCCAGGACUUCUGCUCUAACAUCGAAGAUUAGGAGUUCCCUUUACCAGGCCUCUAUGCCUGGUUAGCAGGUGCAAUGGUUAACUUCGAUGGUGACUUAGCUGGUCUGGAAGCAUCUACGAAAGAACUAGAGGUGGCUCAGCGGCGGCUAAGAGCAUUUGCUCACGUCCAGAGAACCUGAUUCAAUUCCCAGCACCCACAUGGCAGCUCACAACUGUCUGCAACUCCAGUUCCAGGGGUCUGACACUCACUCCUAGCCUCUCUGGGCACCAGGCGCACAUAUGGUUCAUAUACAGAUAACAGUGCAUAGACACAUAUGUAGGUAAAACACCCACACACAUAAACAAAUUAAUUUUUUUUAAAAAAGUACCUAAGAGGCUAGUACAACACACCUGGGGACAUAGGAUAGAUAUUCCACAGCCAUGAGGACAUGAGGGCGGUCCUAAGAGAUG
ensembl:antisense Gm11614 predicted gene 11614